rnacentral:rRNA from 1 species
UACGUAGGUCCCGAGCGUUGUCCGGAUUUAUUGGGCGUAAAGCGAGCGCAGGUGGUUUAUUAAGUCUGGUGUAAAAGGCAGUGGCUCAACCAUUGUGUGCAUUGGAAACUGGAGGACUUGAGUGCAGAAGGGGAGAGUGGAAUUCCAUGUGUAGCGGUGAAAUGCGUAGAUAUAUGGAGGAACACCGGUGGCGAAAGCGGCUCUCUGGUCUGUAACUGACGCUGAGGCUCGAAAGCGUGGGGAGCAAACAGG